UAUUAGAAUUGUUGAAAAAAA
rnacentral:piRNA from 1 species